rnacentral:rRNA from 1 species
AUGGGCAAGCGGAAGUCGGCGAGGUCCAAGGCGGCGCCGCGGAAGAAGGUGGAGAAGCUGGAGACGGCCUUCUGCAGCCACGCCGCCGCCGUCGAGUGCACCAUCGAGCUCGACAUCAAGAUCGCCACCGCGUCGUGCUACGUCUGCCUGGAGAGCUACUCCACCGUGCCGGACGCCCUCACCGAGCCCAUCGACGUCUACAGCGAGUGGAUCGACGAGUGCGAGCGCGUCAACGAGGGCGUACGACGUCGCGCCAGGAUGAUGCGUGGUCGCCAUCCUGCGCUUUGUAAGCUUUUCCGCUGUACUUGCGCGGCCAAUGUGCGGCGGCGGUUCAGAUAG